AGAUAGAAAGUUACUUCGGUACGAUCGGUGACAGGUGGUGCAUGGUUGUCGUCAGCUCGUGUCGUGAGAUGUUGGUUAAGUCCCGCAACGAGCGCAACCCCUAUUGUUAGUUGCCAUCAUUCAGUUGGGCACUCUAGCGAGACUGCCGGUAAUAAACCGGAGGAAGGUGGGGAUGACGUCAAAUCAUCAUGCCCCUUAUGACCUGGGCUACACACGUGCUACAAUGGUUGGUACAACGAGUUGCGAGUCGGUGACGGCGAGCUAAUCUCUUAAAGCCAAUCUCAGUUCGGAUUGUAGGCUGCAACUCGCCUACAUGAAGUCGGAAUCGCUAGUAAUCGCGGAUCAGCACGCCGCGGUGAAUACGUUCCCGGGCCUU
rnacentral:rRNA from 1 species